CGGUGCGACAGGUACGGCAAUCAGUGCCGCGGCAGGGGCCGGUAGCUUCAGCUGUUCUAUUGGUGCGGGAAGUUCCAGUUGCGGUUGCUCGAGGGUGGCUGGUGAUCCAUGUGUUAGCUGCAUUACUGUUUCUUCGACUCCGU
rnacentral:pre_miRNA from 1 species